UUAAUUUUUUUAAUUCACUAAAUGACCUUUGGUAUUAAAAAAAACAUUCCAUUAACUUCUCUAGCUAUCUUAAAUAGAUAAUUGGAAAGACUAAUUCUUCAACCUUUCAAAGAAGAAUGACCACCAAUAUUAAGAUUCUUUAUUUUGCCUUUGCAAUUCUGUGUAUUGCCUCAACUGUAGCUUCAAGUUCAGGAGAAACUAAUCAGAAAGAAAUGUUUUGCGGUGACUUUUACGGAUGUUCUGAUGACGAUGCAGCGUGUUGCUUCCAUUGUGCAAGCCAUGGAUUGCAUGGAACAUGUUAUAAAAAUGAAUGUUGUUGUGAUACUACUUUACCAACUUGUUAAAAAGAGAAUGUUAUUAGUGCUCUUCAAAGUGUAUAUUUAUGAAAUAUACUUUUUAUGAUUCCGGAAAAGCCAAAUUAAAAUAAAUAGAAAAGUUUAAUUAUAAUUUUUUUAAUAUUAA